GCAUAUGCGAACUAAAUCCGCCAAGAAUUCAGAUUUAAGUUCAGGCUGAGCAGCCCCAUAAACCGCUACUAGAGCCCACCUAAAACCAUCCAUUUUGGAUGUAAUUUUGAAUUUGACCGCAAAAUCGCCAAACACUACUUCCCUAACCUGGAGUGUGUCACAUCUGACUCCAAGUAAGAUCCCUCCGGAUCUUCCUCUUGGAGGUAGACAAUGCCAAUCAAAAUCAAUCCCUGCG
rnacentral:lncRNA from 1 species